UACGUAGGGGUCGAGCGUUGUCCGGAGUUACUGGGCGUAAAGCGCGUGCAGGUGGCUCAUUACGCCCGGCGUGAAAGCCCCCGGCUCAACCGGGGAGGGUCGUCGGGGACGGGUGAGCUUGAGGGUAGCAGGGGCUGGUAGAAUUCCCGGUGUAGUGGUGAAAUGCGUAGAGAUCGGGAGGAAUACCAGUGGCGAAGGCGGUCUCCUGGGGCAUUCUUGACGCUGAGGCGCGAAAGCUGGGGGAGCGAACGGG
rnacentral:rRNA from 1 species